AGCAAAAAUAUUUUAAAUUCACUUAUAUGCUAAAAGAAAAAGAAAAAACAUGAUUUUCAUAUACAUUAAUAUUAUAUUUUGUAUCCAAUUUAUUAAAAAAGUGAUAGGGUCAUGAAAAGAUACUAAAUGACUCGAUCCAUUUGUUAAUAUUCCAUUCCUUUAGGUCACGUGUUUCGUUACUUUAUAUAAUAAUAAUAAUAAUAAUAAUAAAAUAAAAAGUAUAGCAGUAGGCUAUUAUAUACAAAAACGUAAAUUUGGGUUGUUUUUGUUGGCGCUACUGUUCAAUUUAAUUUUCUUUCCCGCCACAAAAAUACAAACGUCAACGGUCGCGCACGCAGUGAGGGACACCAGCAGCGUCGUCGCGAAGACUGGCGAAGUUGAAAAUCAUCGAUUAUUUCUGUAUAAAGUUGUCAAUUCUUAUCUUGAAUUCACUCCUGAACGAAACACUAAGGUUAUUUAAGUAACUGGUCGUCGAAAUCAGCAUUCAGGUGGAGGUGAAAUGUAUGAAUAAUACGGGCGGCUUGGGGAAGCAGCCUGUUGGGACAUUGAGACGUCCGUUGGAGAAAUAAGGAGUGCUUCAACAUAAGAGAUUCAUCAGGAGACCUCAACUUAAGAAGUUUUCAAGGUAAG